AUUUGUAUAGUUUAUAUAAAACCUUAUAUUUUCAUUAUAAAAAUAGAAUUUUUCUUACAAAUA
rnacentral:tRNA from 1 species